rnacentral:misc_RNA from 1 species
UAUAUGCGUGGACCUUGCGUGGACCUCUGUUUACAUCUCUGGUUUACAUAAUCAGCUGUUCAGAAGUAGAUAUUCGGUCACAUUCGGACAUUUUCAUUUUUUCAUGGACUUGAUUUUAGGUAUUAUUAUUUAUUUUAGUGCAAAAAAGUAAUCAGUUUAAUGUUUAAAUGACACAAACUACUGCCAUUUAUAUGGUUACUCUCUGUUUCCCAUGAAAAAAUAGAAAAAUGACUAAGUAAGUUUUAGUGUGACUCUUCAUCAAUAAGACUGGAGUGUGUUUAUUUUGUACUAUGCCUUAUCUUUGUUGUGUUCCUGGUUGCAAGAGUAAUUAUCCCGGGUACCCUAAAGCGUCCUGUUUUUCUUUUCCAAAAGAUCUUCAAGAACAGGAAAACUGGGCGCGAGCUAUAAAACGAGAAAACUUCAGACCGACAAAAGCGUCACGGGUAUGCGAAUUACACUUCCGGCCCCAUGAAAUUGAAAGAGUAGCUUCUUUUUAUGUGGAAAGAACUGGCGAACUAUUAACUGCUCCAUUAAAGAAUCCAAGAGUUGCUAAAGAUGCAGUACCUUCUAAACUACCUGGUUGCUCCACGUACCAGUCUAAAAAACGAAAGCCCAAGAGGUCUCAGAAGAAAGCGCCAGAGGAAAAAAAGGAACCUUUGUCUCUCAGAGUAUGCCGAACCUGCUUAGCCCAUAAUGACCUGUAUUUAAUUGACAAUGUAAAUCGGGAAGGUCUUGAUCUUAAAGAAAUAAUAGAAAAUUGGACCCCUCUUAAGUUAAAAAAAAAUGAGAAACUCCCAAGAAAGAUGUGCCAACGUUGCAUUAAUGAUAUGUACCAGACUUACCAAUUUUUACUUAAGUGUAAGAAGUCAGAAGAAACUUUAAAACGAUAUUUUUAUCAAGGCAUACAGAUUGAACUUAACGAACAAGUUUUAGUUGCAGAUAGUGAGAAUGUAGGUGAUACUCAUUCAGAUAUUCAUUACACAGAGGAUCUGUCUGAUGUUGAUGAAAACAAUACAUAUAAGAAAAAUAACAAGGCUAAAUCAGAUAGUGAGAAUAUAGGUGAUAUUUAUUCAGAUAUUCAUUACAUAGACGAUCUGUUUGAUGUUGGUGAAAACAAUACAUCUAAGAAAAAUAACAAGGCUAAAUCAGAUAGUGCGAAUGUAGGUGAUAUUCAUUCAGAUAUUCAUUACAUAGAGGAUCUGUCUGAUGUUGGUGAAAACAAUACAUAUAAGAAAAAUAACAAAGCUAAAUCAGAUAGUGAGACUGUGAGUGAUAUUCAUUCAGAUAUUCAUUACAUAGAGGAUCUGUCUGAUGUUGAUGAAAACAAUACAUAUAAGAAAAAUAACAAGGCCAAGUCAGAUAAUGAGAAUGUAGGUGAUAUUCAUUCAGAUAUUCAUUACACAGAGGAUCUGUCUGAUGUUGAAGAUUCUAAAGAAUUGAUUAGUCUUGUAUUUGAUGACACGGAGAGUGAGAAAGUAGAAAGUAUGAAUACUUUAUUGGGUAUUACAAAUAUUAAAAUAGAAAUUGAGGAGAAUGAAGUAAUAGACAAUGAAAUUAAGACAACAAAUGAUGAACAAACAGUACACGAUGAUAAUUUAACAGAUCUUGUAAAUAUGGCAUUAAAUAAUGAUGUAGGUGAUGACAGACACAAAAAAGAUAAUGCUAAUGUUUUAUUUGAUAUCGCAAAUGAUCAAACUAAAAUUAAGCAGUUUGAAGUAAAAAAUAAUUCUAUGAAAAGACGAAGACUACACAAGGCACAGCUAAUUGAUAAAAAACAUCUAUCAAAAAAUAAAAAUAUAUCGUAUGUUUUCCUAAAAGGUCCACCAUACAUAUGCAUCACAUGUGAUGCAUCUUUCCAAAGCUACAAGGAACUACGAAAGCACAAAACUGUGACCAAUCACAAAUCACUAUCAAAGUUUUUAUGUCCAUAUUGUAAUAAGAAACAUGAUUGUUACUCUACACAUGUGGAACACGUUAGGACUCAUACAGGAGAAAAACCAAAUAAAUGCUCUAUAUGUGGCAAAUGCUUCAAUUUAAAAUGCGUCUUUAAAAGACAUAUGCUUACACAUUUGGAAGUCAAGCCACAUAGUUGUACAGUUUGUAAUAAACAAUUUACACGCAGGCAAUAUUUGACGGACCAUGAAAGAAAACAUACAGGGGAAAAAUUAAUAUGCUCAUUUUGUGGGAAAGUAUUUUCCUCGUAUGGUUUAUUAUGCUGUCAUGAAAAGACUCAUAGAGUGCCUCCAGGAAGUGAUAACAAAUCAAAGAAAAGGAUGGACCCAGUGACAAGAGAUAAAUUAUUUCAAUGUCAUGUUUGUGGAAAGGAAUUACGAUCAGACGCAAGUUUAAAAACGCAUUUAAGUCAUUUACAUGGUCCCAGAAAUUUUAAAUGUGAAAUAUGUGGAAGAGCUUACGUCAGUAAAAAACAUUUAGAAGAGCAUAUACAAGCAUCUCAUCAAGGCAUUAAACAUUUCUGUAUGAUAUGUAACAAGGCAUAUUCACGAGAAAAUGACAUGAAGAGUCAUAUGAAAUCACAUUUUGGGCCAAAUGUUCAUCCCUGCGAACUAUGUGAAAAAACAUUUACAUAUAAAACCUCUUUAACUCAACAUAUGCGAAUUCAUACUGGCGAUACAAAAUAUCAAUGCAAAGAGUGUCUUCGCAUAUUUGUCAGUAAGCGUAAUCUAGAGUGGCACGUCCGUGUCCAUACCGGAGAUAAACCAUUCGUCUGCAAUUUUUGUGGAAAAAUGUUUGCCCAAAAGCCUAACCUGUAUGCUCAUAUGAAAAUCCAUACUGGGGAGAAAAACCACGCUUGUGAAAUAUGUGGUAAAGCUUUUUAUCGAGUCAGAGUAUUGAACAAACACCUGGCAACUCAUGCCAAGAAUAAAGAACUUUAAGACGCUGAGUAGAAAAUUGUAUUUGGUAUUUGUAUAGUUUUUUUUAUAAAUUUAUUUUUUGUAAGAUAUUUUUUAUGUAAUAUUUUUUGCUGUAGUGUACAAAAAUUACUUAUAAUUACACAGGACAUACCUAUUUACUUACAUGUAUGCAUUUAUCUAGGUAUAUACACAAAUAUUGGUUUAAAAUUUAAAUAAGCACCAAAGUUAAUAAAAAAAUAUGU